UGAAAUUACGAAAAAAAAGUUACAUUAAUGUAAAAUACUGGAGUAAUGAUCUCUGACUUACUCCGAAAAGACUUUUAUGUGUG